UGUGUAUAGUAGAUGUAGAAUGUGUGUAUUGGAUGCAGAGUUUGUGUGUAAAGUGGAUGCGGUGUGUGUUUAACGGAUGCAGUGUGUAUAGUGGAUGCAGAUUGAACAUUUGUGUAAUGUAUGAGGUGUAUAUUAGAUGCAGAGUGUGUGUUUGUGUAGUGGAUGUAGUGUGUGUUUAUAGUGAAUGCAGAGUGUGUGUGUGUUUGUGUAGUGGAUGUAG